UACGUAGGUGGCAAGCGUUGUCCGGAUUUAUUGGGUUUAAAGGGUGCGUAGGCGGCAUUUUAAGUCAGUGGUGAAAUACUUCAGCUUAACUGGAGAGGUGCCAUUGAUACUGGGAUGCUUGAGUACUGAUGAGGUAGGCGGAAUGGACGGUGUAGCGGUGAAAUGCUUAGAUAUCGUCCAGAACACCGAUAGCGAAGGCAGCUUACUAAGGAGUAACUGACGCUGAGGCACGAAAGCGUGGGGAGCGAUCCGG
rnacentral:rRNA from 1 species